rnacentral:sRNA from 1 species
GGUUGGGGCUUCGGCUCCAACUGAGUGGCGAACGGGUGAGUAACACGUGGGUGACCUACCUUCGAGUGGGGGAUAACGUCCCGAAAGGGACGCUAAUACCGCAUAACAUCCUGUCCUUGAACGGAUGGAGAUCAAAGCCGGGGACCGCAAGGCCCGGCGCUUGAUGAGGGGCCCGCGUCCGAUUAGCUAGUUGGUGAGGUAAUGGCUCACCAAGGCGACGAUCGGUAGCCGGCCUGAGAGGGCGGACGGCCACACUGGGACUGAGACACGGCCGAGACUCCUACGGGAGUCUCCAGUGGGAUGGUUCUAGAAAUCUCNUACAUAUCUCAG